rnacentral:rRNA from 1 species
CCCUUAGAUGUUCUGGGCCGCACGCGCGCUACACUGAUGCAUUCAACGAGCCUAUCCUUGACCGACAGGUCCGGGUAAUCUUUGAAUCUGCAUCGUGACGGGGAUAGAUUAUUGCAAUUAUUAAUCUUCAACGAGGAAUGCCUAGUAGGCGCAAGUCAUCAGCUUGCGUCGGUUACGUCCCUGCCCUUUGUACACACCGCCCGUCGCUCCUACCGAUUGGGUGUGCUGGUGAAAUGUUCGGAUCGGCCGUUUGUCGCGGUUUCCGCGUCAUGUGGCUGAGAAGUUCAUUAAACCCUCCCACCUAGAGGAAGGAGAAGUCGUAACA